CUCUCUUCCUCCCAAAUCUGAGGGAGAUGUCUUCAGUCCAUAGAAACUGUGAUCCUGCCGUAUACAAUGAUGUUAAGAAAACAUUUGACAGUUGCACCAUUGCUGAUACUUGUGCUGAGUGUCUUCAGAGGACAUACCCUCACAUGUUAUCCUACAGAGUAUCAGAUCUGGGAUCAUUGCUGUCCUAUGUGUUCUUUAGGGAGUCGAGUUAGAAACCAUUGCACAGAGUUCAGAAGUACUUCCUGUUUGAUUUGCGAGGAGGGAACAUUCAUGAAUCGUCCUACAGGGCGUACAGAAUGUAUUCCCUGUGCACCCUGUGAUUCAGGUUCUGGCUUAAAGAUGAAGAGGCCAUGUACAACUAUCUCAGAUACAGUUUGUGAACCACUGGAGGGAUUCUUCUGUACGGACUCUUCAGAAAACAGCUGUGUGAAAGCACAGAAACACAGCAGCUGUCAACCAGGACAAUAUAUCAGCCA